AUUUGAUUGGUAUUGUUUAACCUUGUAGUUUGUAUUUUGUGAUCAAUAUGGAGCCUACCUUUAAAUCUUGCAAGCAUCAGGCAGGUGUAUUAUUUAUUUUUGUCCAUUAUUAAUGUACGAAUUUGCUACAAAAUUUGUCACGCUAAUUGAUAAUUAAUUACUUCAGUGUUCUGAAGCGAAAGGAUGUGAAUUUAUUGAUACCAAUGAUCGAUUGAGUCAGUUGCCACAUGAUGUUUUGAUGUCAAUCAUGUCCCUUUUAACAAUGAAGGAAGCCGGAAAAACUAGUGUUGUAUCACGAACAUGGUAUAACUUGUGGCAUUGUUUACCUGUCUUGUUCUUCAAAGUCAAUCCCUAUUCUAAAAUCAAAGAUAAACUGUUACUUCCCGAACAAAGAUCAGGUUCGAUAAAUUUGAUAAUUUUUAUUCAACUAUCAAAUUGGUCUAAUUCUAAGAUUUUUCUUGGCACUGCUAUCUCCGAUAUGCCAAAGGUACAAGAUUGAGUUCUCUAAUUAUGUCAGAUAUAUGUUUUUUUGUCAUACCAAAUUGUCAAAUUGAGUUCUCUGAGGGUUUGUCGGAUUCCUGAGAAAAAGGUAAUCAUCAUAUUUUACUUGACUGCUUGCUUCUUUUCCACUUGGGUAUUGUAUUUAAAAAGUGUUCCAGGAGCAAACUUUCGAGAUGUACCAAGAGUGUGUGUUUGUCUUGCUAACAAGGUUAACUGUUUUUGCCCUUUAGAUAGCAAGGCAUUGCAGGAAUUUGACAAAGUGUGGUAUGAGGUCACUAAUGAAUAUGGAGGAGUUGUGACAACUGAGUCUGUUCCAGUGAUGUUUGGAAGAUCUCUGGAUGUUCCUCAAAGCUGCAAUGGGGUUGCACGGUUUUUCUUUGAGUAUCUUUGUGGAAGACCAAAACAUUAAAUUUGUGCAUUGUCAAUUACCUUUGCUUUUGGAGUAGUUUAUAUAUAAUACCAACAUUUGUUGUUUUAAUUGUUGUUAGGUUGGGGCUGCAGACUAUAUUGCAUUUGCUGAAAAUUACCGCACAAUCUUUAUUUCUGACAUACCGGCAAUGAGCAUGCGUAUCAAGGACAAGGUAUGAAUCGCUGCAUCUUUUCAUGUGCUUUGUGGUGGGGAAAAAUUGAUUAAUUUCAUGAUACUAUCCAAUAAUAAUUUAAUGACUAAAAACCUGAUCAGUUUAGAUCAAUUUGAAUAUCUGAAAUUUUAACAAGGAUCUUCCCCAAUUAAAUCAGUUUUGCUCUAUCUUAGAUGUGCUGGCUUCACUUAAAUUUAAUUGUUAGCUCUAUCAAGUAAUUGUUGUGGAUUUCCAAAAAAAAAAAACACCGAGUUUCUUACUUCUACCUCCUAUAUUAAAUUUUUAACGAUUUGUAUUGUAAAUUUCUUGUGUUAUUUGUGAUCAAUUGCCCAUUGGUUAUUUUCUUAUGAACCUUCUCAUUAUAGGCAACGUGGAGAAAAUGAACUAGUCUAGGCAACGUAGAGAAAAUGAACUAGUCGCUAUUGUGAUGGCUUUGAAAUUGGGUAGAGAUGAAUUUCAGAACUGAAUUCAGAGCUGAAUUUCAGAACUGAAUUCAGAGCUGAAUUUCAUAACUGAAUUCAGAGCUAAGAUUCGGAACUGAAUUCCUUAAUUCAUCAGCUACUUUCUCAGUUACUCUCAGUUUCUCAUCCUUGUGUUGUAGGACAUCCUUGCUAACAAGGUAACACUUUUAUAUGAUUCCAGCUAUCAGUACAAAGAUUACCUUUCCUUAUUUAGCUUUGAAUGAAUGAUUGAUUGUUUUUUUUUCUUUCUUUCUUUCUUCUUCUUCUUCUUCUUCUUCUUCUUCUUCUUCUUC